rnacentral:rRNA from 1 species
GCAUAUCAAUAAGCGGAGGAAAAGAAACUAACAAGGAUUCCCCUAGUAACGGCGAGUGAAGCGGGAAGAGCUCAAAUUUGUAAUCUGGCACUUUCAGUGUCCGAGUUGUAAUCUCGAGAAGUGUUUUCCGCGCCAGACCGCAUACAAGUCUGUUGGAAUACAGCGUCAUAGUGGUGAGAACCCCGUAACUGAUGCGGAUGCCUGGUGCUCUGUGAUACACUUUCGAAGAGUCGAGUUGUUUGGGAAUGCAGCUCAAAUUGGGUGGUAAAUUCCAUCUAAAGCUAAAUAUUGGCGAGAGACCGAUAGCGAACAAGUACCGUGAGGGAAAGAUGAAAAGCACUUUGGAAAGAGAGUUAACAGUACGUGAAAUUGUUGGAAGGGAAACGCUUGAAGUCAGACUUGCUAUUUGGAAUUCAGCCGCAAGGUGUACUUUUCAAUUCGCAGGCCAGCAUCAGUUUUUGGGGGUGGAAAAGGGUAGUGAGAAGGUAGCAACUCCGGUUGUGUUAUAGCUCAUUACUGGAUUCAUCCUUGGGGACUGAGGAACGCAGCACGCUUUUUGCAAGGCUCUCGAGCUUUUCGUGCUUAGGAUGCUGGUGGAAUGGCUUUAAACGACCCGUCUUGAAACACGGAC